AGAGUUUGAUCCUGGCUCAGGACGAACGCUGGCGGCGUGCCUAACACAUGCAAGUCGAACGGAGAAUUUUAUUUCGGUAGAAUUCUUAGUGGCGAACGGGUGAGUAACGCGUAGGCAACCUACCCUUUAGACGGGGACAACAUUCCGAAAGGAGUGCUAAUACCGGAUGUGAUCAUCUUGCCGCAUGGCAGGAUGAAGAAAGAUGGCCUCUACAAGUAAGCUAUCGCUAAAGGAUGGGCCUGCGUCUGAUUAGCUAGUUGGUAGUGUAACGGACUACCAAGGCGAUGAUCAGUAGCCGGUCUGAGAGGAUGAACGGCCACAUUGGGACUGAGACACGGCCCAAACUCCUACGGGAGGCAGCAGUGGGGAAUCUUCCGCAAUGGACGAAAGUCUGACGGAGCAACGCCGCGUGAGUGAUGAAGGAUUUCGGUCUGUAAAGCUCUGUUGUUUAUGACGAACGUGCAGUGUGUGAACAAUGCAUUGCAAUGACGGUAGUAAACGAGGAAGCCACGGCUAACUACGUGCCAGCAGCCGCGGUAAUACGUAGGUGGCGAGCGUUGUCCGGAAUUAUUGGGCGUAAAGAGCAUGUAGGCGGCUUAAUAAGUCGAGCGUGAAAAUGCGGGGCUCAACCCCGUAUGGCGCUGGAAACUGUUAGGCUUGAGUGCAGGAGAGGAAAGGGGAAUUCCCAGUGUAGCGGUGAAAUGCGUAGAUAUUGGGAGGAACACCAGUGGCGAAGGCGCCUUUCUGGACUGUGUCUGACGCUGAGAUGCGAAAGCCAGGGUAGCGAACGGGAUUAGAUACCCCGGUAGUCCUGGCCGUAAACGAUGGGUACUAGGUGUAGGAGGUAUCGACCCCUUCUGUGCCGGAGUUAACGCAAUAAGUACCCCGCCUGGGGAGUACGGCCGCAAGGUUGAAACUCAAAGGAAUUGACGGGGGCCCGCACAAGCGGUGGAGUAUGUGGUUUAAUUCGAAGCAACGCGAAGAACCUUACCAGGGCUUGACAUCCCGAGGGCCGGUCUAGAGAUAGACCUUUCUCUUCGGAGACCUCGGUGACAGGUGGUGCAUGGUUGUCGUCAGCUCGUGUCGUGAGAUGUUGGGUUAAGUC
rnacentral:rRNA from 1 species